rnacentral:lncRNA from 1 species
UCCUAAUACUUGGAGUUUGACAAUUGGUUGAUGCCGGUUGAUACUCGAAUGAAUAUAGGCACUUCUUGUCAACAUCGAUGCUUGUAUGAGUGAACUUUGGAGUACAUAGCAGCAGCAUAAGUACCAGUCCAUCUGAUCAUUUUGUGCAGUUCUACUGAAAUCACCCGAUGUAAUGAUUUGCCUGCGAGUUCAGGCUCCAAAUUACUCCUUUAUGAAAUCAGCAAAUAGUAGCACAAUACCAAAUUACCAAUACAUAUGACAGGCACAAUAAUCAGGAUAAAGACCAGUAGCAACCUGUGUGAGGUAGCAUAUCAAUUACUAUUUCCUUU